ACGGGAGGCAGCAGCUAAGAAUAUUCCGCAAUGGACGAAAGUCUGACGGAGCGACGCCGCGUGGAUGAUGAAGGCCGGAAGGUUGUAAAAUCCUUUUAUUACAGAGGAAUAAGCAGUGCAGGGAAUGGCAUUGUGGUGACUGUAAGUAAUGAAUAAGCAACGGCUAAUUACGUGCCAGCAGCCGCGGUAACACGUAAGUUGCGAGCGUUGUUCGGAAUUAUUGGGCGUAAAGGGCAUGUAGGCGGAUAUGCAAGCUUGGUGUGAAAGGCGGGAGCUUAACUCCCGGACUGCGUUGAGAACUGCAUAACUAGAGUGACUGAGGGGCAGGCAGAAUUCCAGGUGUAGGGGUGAAAUCUGUAGAUAUCUGGAAGAAUACCAAUGGCGAAGGCAGCCUGCCAGCAGAUGACUGACGCUGAGGUGCGAAGGUGCGGGGAGCAAACAGGAUUAGAUACCCUGGUA
rnacentral:rRNA from 1 species